rnacentral:RNase_P_RNA from 1 species
GGAGAUGAUUGGGUAGCUGCUGUAAAAGUUUUUUAUAGAGGAAAGUCCGGGCUUCAUGGAACUAUGAUGCUGAGUAACGCUCAGAUAGAGUGAUCUAAUAGAUAGUGCCACAGAAAAUAUACCGCCUUUUAAAGGUAAGGGUGAAAAGGUAAGGUAAGAGCUUACCGGGCCUCUAGCAAUAGAGGCCGCAUGGUAAACCUCAUCAGAAGCAAGACCGUGCAAUGCGUACCUAUGACCGUAUGGUCUAGGAGCUAUGGUUUCAAGCCAAACGCAUGGGUAGGUCGCAUGAAUUAAGUGGCAACACUUAAUCAAGAUGAAUAGCUACCGUUGGUGAUACCAACACAGAACCCGGCUUAUAGAUCAUCUCCGCUG